GCCUGGGGCCCCGUGACGCUUGGUAUCGUGCACGUACACCUGCCCCCCACGUCCCCAGCUCCCUUCUCCACAAGCUGCAGGACAGACAAGACCAAGGGCGAGCAGGGCACAGCACCCAGCGCUUUUAAACUAACCGUCCAGGGAAGGACGUCGAGAGACAGGGCAAGGAGCGUCGCGGGGCAGACGGAGCCGGACGAACCCGAUGCGUCUCCCGAGAGCCAGCGCUCCGGGCAGAAGAAAGGACCUGGGCACGAAGCGCUGCCGAAAUCUGUGACCCCACGCGGCGGGACGGCAGCCCAGACCGGGGCGACCUUGAGGGCCACGGCCGCAGAAACGGGAGCACCCAGCAGCAAUAAGUGCAACGGGCUGGGAGCUCGCCGGCUGGAAACCACCGAGGAGGAGGAGGAGGGUCUGGUGCGCCGGACACUCGCGGCAGAGCCGAGCGCUAGGGUGGGCAAGCCGUGCUGCACGGCCACGCGUCUCCUUUACGGCUGGGCAGUGGCGGUGCCGCUGCACGAGGCCCUGGCAAGAUCCUGCCUGGAUGCUGCAGAUGAUUCGCUCCAGCUGUGCCCAGGAAAGGCACGUUCAGCUCAGGGAAAAGGCAACGAUGGAUGGCAGAGCGGAGGCGGGGAGCCCUGUGCCGCACACGGGAAGAACUGGGGCAGCCCAGGGAUGCUGCUGGCACCAGAACUCGUGGGGCUCUGGCCACGAACAGGCUCCGGCUGGAAAGCAGGACAAGGGGUCUCCCCUUCGUGGCAGCCAGGCAGGAGCGGGGGGCAGGAGGGGAGCAAAGCUCAGCCACACUUAAAAAAACCCCUUGAGCAGGUCAGCAGCAGCCCUCCCGCCCCAGCUCGGCCCAGGGAACGUGCUCACAGACGGAGACGGCGGGGUAUUAGGGGAGACCUCGCCGAUGCCCUCGCUGGACGGGGGUCUUCAUGCACUAGGCAGACCCUGCGGCCAGGAUGCUCAGGACCAGGGAGGCCGGGCUCAGAGCCUCCUCGCCGUGGCUCAGGCUGCACCAGAGCUGCCCAUCCUCGCACGCCAGAGCUGGAUCUGGGUCAGCAGCCAGAGGACACAGCCUCGCUCCCAGCUCCUCCCUGCGCUCUCCGGACACGGACAGCCUGCCGCGGACGGCACCCCAGGCGCAGCCGCUUCACCCUGGCCAGGACAGCGGUAGGCUGGACUGCCGGGGAGCUCGGGUGCUGGUGCUCACACAGGUGCGGGGCUUUGCCAGGGAGCUUGGCAUUGGUGCUCAUGCAGAUGCACGGCUUUGCCAUGCAUCCCCCUCCCCAGGAGAAGUGCAGCCUGGGGUACGAAGCACUGGCACAGGGGCUCUAGCCCGCAACCUUGCCCCAAGGCAAGGGGAGGCACGUGCGCCCCGGAAGGGCUGAGGACGCACCGGACCCCGUCCGCCAGUGCGGGCAAGGGCGAGGGGACCCGCGCGGGUGGAGAGAGCAGCAAGGGAAGGGCUCCCUGGCGCAAGGGGCAGCUCAGCCCAGCUGCCUCCUUGUCCGUGCCGCUGCCUCCCACCGCCCUGCGGGGAGAUCGUUCNNNNNNNNNNNNNNNNNNNNNNNNNNNNNNNNNNNNNNNNNNNNNNNNNNNNNNNNNNNNNNNNNNNNNNNNNNNNNNNNNNNNNNNNNNNNNNNNNNNNAGCCAGGGCAGCAGCAUGCCUGGCCCCGGGGGGCUCUGCCCGCCCCUACCUGGCAGGUGCAGCCGGGCCGGGCUGGCAGCAGGGAGCACGCGCGGAGCAGCCGGAGCCGGUGGCAUCACCCCACAGCCGGGCGCACGGAGCCACCCAGCCCCGCUCUUAAAGGGACCCGGAUUGGGAUCGGGGCCGGGCUGCAGCGCAGGAGGGGCUGGUGACAGCUCCCUGCAGAGCUGCCCCGGGCAUCGCUCACCUGGGCAGGGGGCUGCCGCGCCCGUCUCUUCUGCACACGCGGCUUUGGGCAGGGAUGCCUGCUUUAGCAAAGCCCUGCCCGGUCCCUGCAGGGCUGCAGCACCUCGCACCCCGGGUGCACUGAUCUUUGCAGCCCCCUGCUCUGGGGGCGGCAUCGCAGAAGGGCGUGGCAGCUGCUCUGUCCCACCAGAGUUUGGGGGUGCUGCUGGGAACUGGAGAGGGGCGUCCCGAAUCCGCGGACCAGCCGUCCUAUGCCUGCUUGCAAACCGCCACCGUGCUUGAACACACGCCCCUCUGGAGCAGAGAGGUGCUUCCCACCCAGCCCAGCCCCAAAUGGAGCACGGGCCCAGGCGAAGCAGAAGCAGGGAAACACGCGUGUGGAAACGUGCCUGCAGCGCGCCACCGCCUCUGGCAAACCCUCCUCGGCCUGAUGCGGCAACCUGUUAUUAAAGAGGUGCGAGUUUAGUGACAGAUCGUUUUAAUUUUGCAUCCGUGCCGCACUCCCUGCCUUGCCGGGGCUCGGCGGAGAUGCUCCGAGCGCUGGCGGCGACACCGAACUCCCGACAGAACGACAUUUUCCUGGAGAGAAAUGAAUGCUUCCCACGGGGGCUUUGCCCAACUGGCAAUAAAGCCUCUCCGAUUUCAGGGGAAAGAGCCGUU
ensembl:lncRNA